rnacentral:lncRNA from 1 species
AAUUUUUCUUCCAAAUUUUUCUGAAGAUUAUUUAAUAUCUAUUUGGUAAGUGUAAAGAUAUACAUACUGACUGGGAUGUAAUAGACACUUAUUGUUCAAUGACUGUUUUGAUUUCUCAGUGUAAUGUCAUACAGUAAAAUGACAAUGUUCCAUUUGAGAGAUGUGUACUAGUAUGAAUUAUGUUGUGUAUUGUGAUAAAAACUAUUGUGGGUUUUGUAACAAUUUAAUUUUGUAUUUAUUGAUAUUAAGUAUAUAAAUACUAUAAAGACAUAGUAAACUUU